rnacentral:lncRNA from 1 species
UCACGGGUCCCACAGGGCGACUUCUCCACCCUUAAAAAGCUUCUCAUCCGUCCACAGUUCGCACUGCGGGACGGAGCCUUGCCAAGCGCAGCGGUUGCCUUUUGGUUGACGUGUCAGGUACCAUUUAUCAGUCAGAAGAGGGUAAGAUUUUACGUGGCGCAACGAGUAUAUAACACCUCAUGUACAACAUGUAGAGUGUUGGGGGCAGAACCUUUGCCUGAGCAACAGAGCCGAGACGGCAGGCCGGGAUUUCACUUCACUUUAUUCCAGCAAACACCGCUCCGACUGAAACCCCUCGGUCCACAGGGAGACAAGCGGCUCCUGCUCCGCGGGCCGUCCGUGCAAAACCCCAGCCUCCAGCAGCGAGCGCCGCCCGGGGCCGCCUCCUGCCUCCCGCGGGGGGCCGAGCCGGGGCCGCCUCAGGCCGCUGCCCCCCGGCGGGCCCCGGCCCCCUGUGCGCGGGGCGUGAGGCGGCGCUUCCCGGCCCGGGCCUCAGGCGGCCGGCAGCGGGCGAGCCGCCAAGCCGGGGCGGAGGCGGCCCCACACCUCUGCCCCACGCCGGCCGCCCGGCCUCGCCUCGCCUCUCGCCUCGCCCCGCUCCCUUCUCCCAGCCCCCGCCGGCCAAGCCAACUCGGCGGCGGCAGCGCCCCAGAGCGAGCGAGCACCUCCCUCCCUCCCUCCCUCCUCCCUUCCUUCCCCCCGGGCUGUGCCGCCGCAGGUCGGCCGGGGUGGGCGCUGAGGGAGGGAAGGAGGGAGGGUGGGGAAGGGGCGCGCUGCCGGGGAGGGGAAGGGAGGGAAGGGAGGGGAGGAGCGGCCGGCCGGGCAGGUUUGUCGGCGGUGGUUGUCCCGCUCCCCGCCCCUCCCCUCCCCUCCCGGGGCUGCUGGCGGAUAAUGAGUGUCUGCGCGAGGCCGGCUGCCCCCGGGAGGCAGGGCUGGGCGGCGGGGAGUCACGGCGUGCCCGCCUGUUUGUGUGCGCCGCCGCUCGCCCCGGCCCCUCGGCGGAGCCUCCACCCCGCGGGCGGGGAGCCGCCCUCCUGCCUCCCUCCCUCCCUCCCUCCGUCCCCGCCCGGCCGCGCUCCCCUCCGUGACCCUCCCGGGGAGCCGGGCAGGGCGAGAGAGGCGGCGGCGUCAUGUGACAGCGCGGCCCGGUGCCAGCAGCCCGGGGGGAAGGCGGGAGGCAGGCAGGGAGGGAGGGAGGCAGGCAGCGGGGCCGCCCCUCCUCGCACACACACCGCACACACACACACACACAGAGCCGGAGCCACGGCGCCUCCAGCCUCCAGCCCCGCCGCCCAGCGCCCCCACGGCGCCCUCCGCACCUCCUGCCCAGCAUGCACACUCUUGGUAAUUGCAUGAGGAACUUCUUGUGUGAGAGGAGCUACAUCUGGAUUUGAUAAUCCUGCCUGACCCAGAAGAGAUUUACUUCAAACUAACUUUCCUCUUGUAUUUUUAAGAGCUUUUUGCCUAGUAUAAAUACAAAAACUUGAAGCUGGUGUGAGUGGCCUUUUUUAUUUCUGUCCAAGCUGGCAAAAUACCUUUUUUUUUCCCCUGCACACAGUGUGGUACAGACCACAAGGGGGACGGGGGCAAGGGCGGGGUGUGUGUGAGGAGGGAGAAGAUAUAAAGUGGUCUGUGCCUUCCAUGAGAAACUGGACAAAAUUUGCCCUCGGUAACAGAGCCGUGAGACAGCCUUGAUGUGCUGCGAGGAUUUGAGCCAUGCGGUCAAUACCUGGUCAGCCGAAAGCAAAAGCCUUCAGAUAAAAAAUGAUGUAAACGUGAGCGAGAUCAGCCAAAGGCUCUAAGGUGGUAGAGACAGGAGCUGUGCAGCCACCAAGUUGCUUAGUUCCAGAUGCUCGGUGUGAAGACAGUAAGGAGCUGAUAUCAUCAGCAUAAAGCCUGCACCCACACAUCGCUGUGCAGAUGCUCUGCUGGCCAGCGCACUCUUAAACACCAGCCAUGGGGAGCCUGCAGCAGUUGGUAGUGCUGCUGUAGUGCCAGUCCACAUAAUUUGCUGCAACAUGUUCUCACAUUGGAUAGCGUUAGAUGUCCCACCCCUGGUGUAUAAAUAACUGAUGCAAAGCAUGUAAGGGAAGAGAGUGCAAUGAAACCACAGCUUUGAAGGAAAGCAAGUGUUGAAGUUACCCUAGUAUAUGACAUCUAGGCAAAAUGCACCUUUCCUCUGCCUCCACCUUGAGGAAGGAGUUCACUUAUCUGGCAGGGUAUUUGGGCGCUUUGCAAAUAAAAGUGUUUUAUCCACAGAAAGUCGGGUCCCG